rnacentral:rRNA from 1 species
CCACCGCGGUUAUACGAGAGGCCCGAGUUGACAGACAACGGCGUAAAGCGUGGUUAAGAAAGACUAUAUACUAAAGCCAAAUGCUUUCAAGGCUGUCAUACGCACCCGAAAGCAAGAAGCCCAACUACGAAAGUGGCUUUAUAACCCCUGAACCCACGAAAGCUAGGACACAAACUGGGAUUAGAUACCCCACUAUGCCUAGCCCUAAACAUUGAUAGCACAUUACACCCGCUAUCCGCCUGGGGACUACGAGCGUUAGCUUAAAACCCAAAGGACUUGGCGGUGCUUAAGAUCCACCUAGAGGAGCCUGUUCUAGAACCGAUGACCCCCGUUCAACCUCACCCUCCCUUGCUUUUUCCGCCUAUAUACCGCCGUCGUCAGCUUACCCUGUGAAGGUCCAAUAGUAAGCAAAAUUGGCACAGCCCAAAACGUCAGGUCGAGGUGUAGCGUAUGAGAGGGGAAGAAAUGGGCUACAUUCCCUAGCAUAGGGAACACGGACAAUGCACUGAAACGUACAUUUUAAGGAGGAUUUAGUAGUAAGCAGAAAAUAGAGCGUUCUGCUGAAACCGGCCCUAAAGCGCGCACACACCGCCCGUCACUCUCCCCGAGCUAAAAUUGUUUACAUAACUAAAACAUCCCACCUGCAAAGGGGAGGCAAGUCGUAACAUG